rnacentral:rRNA from 1 species
UUGAACGCUGGCGGCAUGCCUAACACAUGCAAGUCGAACGGCAGCACGAGGAGCUUGCUCCUUGGUGGCGAGUGGCGGACGGGUGAGUAACGCGUAGGAAUCUGCCUUUUAGUGGGGGACAACCCGGGGAAACUCGGGCUAAUACCGCAUGACCCGCGAGGUAAAAGCUGGGGAAUCUAUUUAUAGGUCCUGGCGCUAGAAGAUGAGCCUGCGUUAGAUUNGCUUGUUGGUGGGGUAACGGCCUACCAAGGCGAUGACCUAUAGCUGGUCUGAGAGGAUGGUCAGCCACACUGGGACUGAGACACGGCCC